rnacentral:miRNA from 10 species
GGCAGUGACAUUUCAUGCAAAGACC